AAUAGAUACCCGGGUAGUCCACGCCGUAAACGAUGGAUACUAGCUGUUUGAGCGCAAGUUUGAGUGGCUAAGCGAAAGUGAUAAGUAUCCCACCUGGGGAGUACGGGCGCAAGCCUGAAACUCAAAGGAAUUGACGGGGGCCCGCACAAGCGGUGGAGCAUGUGGUUUAAUUCGAUGAUACGCGAGGAACCUUACCAGGGCUUAAAUGUAGAUUGACGUAUUUGGAAACAGAUAUUUCUUCGGACAAUUUACAAGGUGCUGCAUGGUUGUCGUCAGCUCGUGCCGUGAGGUGUCAGGUUAAGUCCUAUAACGAGCGCAACCCCUGUUGUUAGUUGCCAGCGAGUAAUGUCGGGAACUCUAGCAAGACUGCAGUGUAAACUGUGAGGAAGGUGGGGAUGACGUCAAAUCAUCACGGCCCUUACGUCCUGGGCCACACACGUGCUACAAUGGCCGGUACAGAGAGCAGCCACUUAGCGAUAAGGAGCGAAUCUAUAAAGCCGGUCACAGUUCGGAUCGGAGU
rnacentral:rRNA from 1 species